UAGCUGCUCUGCAGCAGCAGCUACAGGUUCUGUUUGUGAUGUUAGGCUAACUUCAUCUACUCUAUAACCGUCCAGGUGGAGCUGCUGGAGAAGGGACAUCUGAUCCCUCAUCCACACCUCUCCUCUCUACGGAGCUUCCUGCAGGUCUAGAGACAUCCAUCCCUCCAGCUCCCUCCAGUGAAACACAGCCUGCAGGUCUAGAGACAUCCAUCCCUCCAGCUCCCUCCAGUGAAACACAGCCUGCAGGUCUAGAGACAUCCAUCCCUCCAGCUCCCUCCAGUGAAACACAGCCUGCAGGUCUAGAGACAUCCAUCCCUCCAGCUCCCUCCAGUGAAACACAGCCUGCAGGUCUAGAGACAUCCAUCCCUCCAGCUCCCUCCAGUGAAACACAGCCUGCUGAAGAAACUACACCACUAAUGUCCAGUGAAUCUCCUGCACCCACCGGGGACCAACAAGAACACACUUCAAGAACAAGUACCCCUGAUGUAACUAUGGAUGGUCAUGAUGAUGACCAGAGUCUGGAUGCCCUCGCCUACCGGUCUGGUACUGGACAGCAAGACAUUGAGAUGGGUCCAGUCCAAACGCUGCCCAAAGAUCGUAACAGGAUUCUUUAAUAUCACUGUUAGACCCAUGUUUCCCAUCGACCGUGAUUCACUAUUGAAGGGGAAUGACAUUACAGGAGAC